rnacentral:rRNA from 1 species
UGGGGAAUCUUCCGCAAUGGACGAAAGUCUGACGGAGCAACGCCGCGUGAGUGAAGAAGGUUUUCGGAUCGUAAAGCUCUGUUUUCAGGGACGAACGGCAGAAAUAUGAAUAAUAUAUCUGCAUGACGGUACCUGAGGAGGAAGCCACGGCUAACUACGUGCCAGCAGCCGCGGUAAUACGUAGGUGGCAAGCGUUGUCCGGAAUUAUUGGGCGUAAAGGGCGUGUAGGCGGGAUAAUAAGUCUGUUGUAAAAGUGCGGGGCUCAACCCCGUAAGGUCAAUGGAAACUGUUAUUCUUGAGUGCAGGAGAGGAAAGUGGAAUUCCCAGUGUAGCGGUGAAAUGCGUAGAUAUUGGGAGGAACACCAGUGGCGAAGGCGACUUUCUGGACUGUGUCUGACGCUGAGGCGCGAAAACCAGGGGAGCGAACG